UGACAAAAGGCAGAAAGUGAAUGAGACAAACCACCUGGACUGGUGGGAGGGAAAAGUAAAUCUAAUUUACAGAUUGUAUGUCCUGGGAUGGAUGUGAGGCUGCAAGUAUGUUGGUUCCAUUGCUGGGAGAUGCCUGAAUGAGAGAGGAAAUAGAAGGUUUUAGAUAAGUUUAUAUUAAAUACCUGAGUCUGUCUCUGGGCCGCUGUCUGUUUCUCUGUGAUGAUGAAAACACAGUUCUAAGAGUUCAGAGUGGGAAUGCUGUUAAAAAUACACUCUGCCAUCUGCACGGGAGACAAAAAGAGAGUUCAGAGUGGGGAAGUAACCUUGACAUUGCCUUGACUGAACUCACUCCAAAAUCCAAGUCCCUUGUCCAGCAGAGGACCUGCCACUGAUGGAGAGUAUUAUAAUUAUUCAUGCAUAUUUUAUUUUACAUUUGUAGUGCUGUAUAAAAUGACAUUUUCAUUAGCGAUACCACAGUUUUAACAAGUAUUUCACACAAUUAUUCAUGAUUUUUUUUUCUUAAUACACGUGUGGGAGUAUUUAUUAUUGGAAAGAGGAAUCAAAGAUAAGAUGGAGAGCUCAUGCAUACUAAAUAUUGUUUUCUUUCAAACGGAUACUAAAAUAAGCCAGAAACGGCUUGAAAGUUUUUAAUACGGUUAUAUAUAUAUAUAACAUGAUAGGCUGCAAGAGUUCCAAGCUCUGUAACAAUUUAAUCCAUAAUUAAAACUAGUGCAAUAGCUAUUUUUAUAUAUCUCACUUUGCGUAGUGUGAAACGGUGAGUUUAUGGAAAUAUGUAUUAUUUCAGCCCCAUUGCAGAACAGUGCUGCGAUGGUUAAAGGCUCUGUAACAGUCCUAUUUUAUACGUCUCAGCCAUUAGGAUCUUACCUUUUAGGCAUAGCUGUUUGCUCCAGGCUCCAUUUUGGGAUUAAAGAACCUGAGCCCAAAUUAUAUUUUUGGUACAGGGUUUUUUUUUUUUUUU